rnacentral:rRNA from 1 species
AUUGAACGCUGGCGGCAUGCUUUACACAUGCAAGUCGAACGGUAACAGGCCGCAAGGUGCUGACGAGUGGCGAACGGGUGAGUAAUGCAUCGGAACGUGCCCAGUCGUGGGGGAUAACGCAGCGAAAGCUGCGCUAAUACCGCAUACGAUCUAUGGAUGAAAGCGGGGGACCGUAAGGCCUCGCGCGAUUGGAGCGGCCGAUGUCAGAUUAGGUAGUUGGUGAGGUAAAGGCUCACCAAGCCAACGAUCUGUAGCUGGUCUGAGAGGACGACCAGCCACACUGGGACUGAGACACGGCCCAGACUCCUACGGGAGGCAGCAGUGGGGAAUUUUGGACAAUGGGCGCAAGCCUGAUCCAGCAAUGCCGCGUGCAGGAAGAAGGCCUUCGGGUUGUAAACUGCUUUUGUACGGAACGAAACGGUCCUGGUUAAUACCCGGGGCUAAUGACGGUACCGUAAGAAUAAGCACCGGCUAACUACGUGCCAGCAGCCGCCGUAACAC